rnacentral:hammerhead_ribozyme from 1 species
AUUCAGCUGACGAGUCUCAAAUAGGACGAAACGUUUAGAAU